UUAUGUUAAAGAACAAAGCUGCUCCCCGGAAAAAUAUGUGCUGCAUAUCUGACAAAGAUAAAUUGGAUUAUUCAAAAUAUUCCUGAUGAAAUGUUACAUUUUGCAACUAAUUAUCAAUCUGUUUUAUCUGCAGACCAGCUGGGCAUUUUUUGUGCAUGCGAGGCCUGCCUCCGCAAUGAUCUUAAGAUGUCACCGUAGCGUUUACAUCUUUUAUUUCAAGAUUUAAAUAACUAGGAAGUAGCUAAUGUAAUUCACUGCUGAGAAGAAAGGCGAGUUCCUUGAUUCCUUUCCAAAGCGAUCUCCUCCUAAUGAACUUCUUUGGACUCGACUGAUAGAAGGGCAUCCCCACGGCGAAGCAAUCUUAGAUCUUCAGCCAGAGUGGACCCUUUGGCGACAGUGGACGGAGAAGGCAGCGCGGGGCUUCGUGCCCAUUGUACAGACGACAAAGCUGAGGCUCAAGGAAGUAGAAGCAGUGACUUGCUCGAAGUCAAAUUGGAGUGCUGAGAAACAUAAGGACUUAACACCGACUGGACCUCCUUAAGUCUGCGCUUUCUGCCAUUUACAAAUGUAAUAACCAUUCUUAGUUUGUGGGCCAUACAAAAACAGACGAUGCCCGGAUUUGGCCCACAGGCAAUGGCUCGUCCCUGCUGCUUUGGAGUUUGAGGUGGGUCCUUCUCGCUGCUCUGCCCCCUUGGCUGCUCUUGCAGGAGUGAGUAAAUAAUGCUUUUUUAAUUUAAUUUAAUUUUAUUUUUUUUACUUUUACAAAUUCGUAUCUGCUUUCACGAUAUUAAGCUCUCUAUUAGUAGCUCCCUCGGUUUUACGGAGACAGAAUCGACCCGUAACAUUCAAUAAGUUUAAGGCAGGCCACGUCACGGUGUGAUAUAAGACUAUAUUGUAGAAUCAUGGCCACAGUUCACUUCACGUCCGUCACUUCUUACAAAACGCUUUUUCAUGUGAUGGGAACUUUCAAGGUCGACACUCUCAGCAACUUUCAAAUACACGGGCCAGUAGUGUUAAUCAGAGUCGCCGCGCUGUGUAUGAUAUCCCCACGAUUUCCUUGUUUUGUACUUGGAAGUUUGUAGCUUUUGACCACUUUUACCCAUCUCCCCCCACCCUUGCCUCUGGCAGCUGCCAAUCUGUUCUCUGUACCUACGAGGUUUGCUUUAUUUGUUCGUUCUUACAUUCCAUGCCUAAGACAUCAUAUGGUAUUUGUCUUUCUCUGUCUGGUUUAUUUCACUUGACAUAAUGCCUUCAAGGUCCAUCUAGGUGGUCACAAAUGGCAGGGCCUUCUUUUGUUCCCGGCUGAAUAAUGUUCCAUUAUGUGUAUUGACAGCCAGCACUCGGCAUAAGGAAGGCUCUCGAGCGUCCGGACCUGCCCUGGCUCACAGCCUUGCAUCCCUUUGCGACAUAUGCUUGCCCUUGUGGGACCUUCCCUCUCUGCUCCAAGUGACUUACCAGAAUAUGUCUUCUGUACGCGUAGAGGGCUGUCCCUAAGAGGAAUUUUCGUGAAUGAAAUGAUCUCUAGCCCCUUCACAGCCCCCAUGAUAAUGGGCCAAACACAGAAGGAGUGUCCAGCUUUGCUGUGGAGACCAGACAAGCUGCCUGGGGGCACAGACAGAGGGCCAGGUGACAGCGCAGCCAGGUGAAGAGAGAGAAGAGAGCGUCCGCAGGGCGCACCUGCACACGAGGCUGCAUGACCCCCGUGCAAGCUCUGAAAUGGUCAGGAUGCACUAGCGCCCCUGGGUCUGUCUGAGGAGCAGGGCUGGUGGCUUAGAGGGACCAGCUUAUUCAUCCUGCAUGCUGGGACUCAGCCACAGACAAGGGACAAGCGGCCUUUAAACAUCAGGUUGGGAGGUGGAUGUCGCAGCUCCGGGGAGGGACGCCAGCCAACUGCCAGUGUUGGAGGACAUUUCCUUGGCCAUUUCCAAAUCCCCCCCACACCCCCACCAUUGUCUUCACUACAUCUUUAACCCCAGAUGGCACUAGCUUUGCUGUCCUUGGGGAUUCGACUUAGUUUGAGCUUUGACGCCCAUCGUGCAACCGGCCUCAGAAUUUGGGCCCCCGGAGUGGCAGGUGGUGAGGAUGUCCCAGGGCUGAACAGGAUGGUUUCCGGGAGUCUCCGCCCAAGGGGGCUUCCCCCAGGGACCUGCUUUUCCCUCGUAGCCUCUUGAGAGCAGGCUCUGCGAAGCCAGGGCCCGGUUCCCGCCGUCCAGGCCCCAGCACUGACCGGGUGCAGGGUGGAGCCCAACCAUCGUCGUCUAGUCCCGAGAAGCAACCAAGGGGCAAACACGGGAUGGUCUGUGGGGUGGGACCGAUCUGAGACACAGAGCUCAGCCUCUGCUCUUGACUUUGGCUUUGCCUGAGCGGUGACCGGGGCUGUAUCUCCACAAGAUGGUGAAGAGCCUGGUUUCCUGCUAGGGCGCGGCUAGUUGGCUGGGAAAUGGGAGACUAGGCCGGACGGUGGGAACCGGAAAUUCUCCCACUGUGGCCACAGCUUCUGCAGCUGGUCUCCUCCUGAUGCUGAGGACAGGUGUAGAGCUCUCCGUCCAUGUGACUGAAGAACGGGGCUUGGAGGUGGUAAGUGGAUGUUCCUAAAGUCACCUUCCGGCAGAAUGGGGCUGGCGCUUGUGGCUCAGCCAGGCUCGGGAGACCCACACCCGCCAGCUAGCUGAGUGGGGCUCCACUCCUUCCUUUUCGAGAGCAGGGAUUUUAUUCCUGCCUCUUGGCCUGUAAAGGGCUUGUAUCGCUUUCUUGUUGCUCCCCAGAUACAAGUGCUGGACUGGGGGCAGAGGACGUGGCCGACUCCACCCCACCUGUGACUCCUCUUUUUGCCUUCAGGGACCACGAACCCAGCUCUCUGGGCUCCAUGUGGCCGGGACCUUUCUCCCACCUUCUCCUGCUUUCCCCCAAGGGUCGAUCUUAUUCAUUCCUGAAUUUCCCCUAAAUUAGAUCCCGUGAGCAUUUAGUUGCUGGAAACACACAGUGGGCAAAAAAAGGCCUGGGCCCGAAGCUGAGAGAACCCCAGGGUGGGCCUCUGAGAGGGCCGGUCCCCAGCAUUCCGAGAGCAGCGACAGCAGCAGCAUUGAUAUAUUCAGUGCUCACAGCGCUCCGGCAAGGGAAAUAUUAUUGCUGCUCUGGUUAAAUCCACUCAUGCCCAUUUUUCAGAUGAGGAAAUUGAGGCUUAGCUAGGAAAAGUACUGGGCUCACUUUGCUACUGCUGUUGGGGUUUGCUUACGUGUAUGGGCAUGUGUACGUGUGCAUGAGUAUGUGUGUGCAUAUCUGUGCAAGCGUGUCCGUGUACAUGUAUGCAUGUUUACGUGUGCCUGUGUGUGCAUGGUCACGAAGCCAUAUGUGUGUGCAUAUGAGUGCAAGUGUGUGUGCAUGUGUAGUGAGUAUUUGUGUGAAUAUGCGUGUGCAUGUGUGUAUGCGGGUGUGCAUGCGUGCGUGCGUGUAAGCAUGUGCACACGUUGAGAGGUUUGUCAGGCCUCGAGGAGCAGGCUGUGCGGCCUCUCUGGUCUGUCUCUGCCAGCAGGGUCCACAUGGAGGCCCAGGAAUCUGGGGGACAUGUCCUUUCUAUGGGCACAGCACGGCUGUCGGGGUGAGAGGUGGGCAGGCCUCGGGUGGAGCUGGCCCGAGCUCUGGCUGCGUGCCCCGGGGUGUGUGGGCACCAUCCUGAGGUCUCUCCUGGUCCGUCCGUGCCAGCCUGGUGUUGGGCUGGCGGUAUCCAGGGCUGUGCCGAGCUCAGUUGCCUCCCGGCCUCCUCAUGGGAAGGGUUGGGGGCCCAGCCCACGGCAGCAGGUCCGUGUGCAAAAUUUGAGGCCAGAGAAGAUAUGCCCCAAGGUGCGAAGGUGGGAGAGGGCGGAAGGGAGCAGCCUGGCACCUGUGAUGCAUCUGGUUUUUAAAAAAAUUUAAUGUUUAUUUUUGGGGGGGGAGGGUCUGAGAAAGAGGGAGACACAGGAUCUGAGGCAGGCUCCAGGCUCUGAGCUGUCAGCACAGAACCCGACAC